GUCUUCGUGCCUAUUGGAGGACCCAAAUAAGGACUUCGGGUGACCGAGUAGAAACAAAUGCCAUGGCAUUUAGAAACGAAGAACAAGAAGCCAAAGGGAAAAUGUCUCAUGCCUAUUAACAGUAUGAUGUGAGUGUGAAUUUACUGGAGCACAAGUCAAAACCUGGGAUCUGUGUUGUAACUGUGGGAACUGACAGACUUGCCAAAACUUGUAUUGACUGAAACACAACUCUUCCUUUCUAAGCAUAUUCAGCAGUCCUGGAUAUUCUGAUGUAUCUACUUUCAAGCUUCUUGCAAAGAUAUUCCCCACGUCUGAAUAAUGGAGCUUCCCAUGCAAUUUCCCAAGCCUGAGCCCUGGGAGAUGCUGAGGACACUUAAUACCUUCAUUCCCCAGGAAGAAGAGAAAGCACCAGAGUGUGGAAGAAAGGGUUUGGGCUUCGUGCACAGGCCUCCAGUGAGAAGGGGACCUAAGUCUUUGAGCAUUUUGCCAGCUAGCUUAUCUGAUAAGGCAAGAAUGAGAAUCAUUUUCUAGGAAACGAUGGUAAUUUAAACAUUU